rnacentral:lncRNA from 1 species
AUUAGUAUGCCAAAACAAGUUCAAGGAUCUACUGAUGAAAAAAUCUCUAAGAAGAAGAAAAAUUACUAUAAAGUGUCCACUAACGUCACUUAGUAAUUUUCUGAAUAAGAAUAAAGAACAAAUUGAAGAGGAGCAAGAAAAUUAAGAUGAGCAAGAAGGUGAAGAGACACAAGAAGGUGAAGAUAGGCCAGAACAUGAACAAGGAGAACAAAAUGAUAUGGUACAGGAAGUUGAUAAGGAUAUCAACCAUCAAAUGAGCAUGAUGAUGAAAUAUGUAAUAGUACAAACCAAGGAAACAUUAUUGUUUAGGUAAUCUUUGGUUAUUUCAUUCAUGUUUUCAAUGUAUGAAUUCUAUAUUGUUUAUUUAUAACUUUGUCAAUUGGGUGAAACAUCAAAAUUAAGCGAAGGAAGACAAAAUCCUUGAAAGCUCGUGCAUGGUCACUUGAAGAUAGAAUAUAAGUCAUUUUUAACAAAUAUGACUGCCAAUUUGUUAAAUUUGGCAAUUUAGUAGGAAUAGUGGUUAGGAGUUCAGAUUUUUGUUCACAUGUUUACACUAAUUGGAAGGUUGCACCAGGCAAAGAGCUCAUAUAAACCUAUAUUAAGGUAUUAGUUCAGAAGUUGCACUUUUUUAAUUUAUCUAUAUCUACAUGUGUAUUUAGAUCUUUUUAAUUAUGCUUCUUUUCUUUAUAGCAGAAAUAUAUCAUUCCAAGGAUAAGGAAAAAGUUGUAUUCUCUAUUCUAAAUGAUGGUUUGAGGCAACACAAUUGCACAAUCAAGUAAGAGUACUUCAACAAGUAUAAAAGUAUACAUUAGCACCUGAAAAGUAGUCCCAAAGACAUACUCUAACCACGCUUUAGAGAAUUGAAACGUUGUUGGAGUCAUAAAACCAUUCAG